AGAGUUUGAUCCUGGCUCAGGACGAACGCUGGCGGCGUGCUUAACACAUGUAAGUCGAACGGUGAACCCACGACGGAGACUUCGGUCAACUGAGAGGGGAAUCAGUGGCGGACGGGUGAGUAACGCGUGAGUAACCUGCCUCUUAGUGUGGAAUAACAUUUGGAAACGAAUGGUAAUACCGCAUAAUAUCACGAAACCGCAUGAUUUUGUGAUCAAAGAUUUAUCGCUGAGAGAUGGACUCGCGUCCGAUUAGCUAGAUGGUGAGGUAACGGCCCACCAUGGCGACGAUCGGUAGCCGGACUGAGAGGUUGAACGGCCACAUUGGGACUGAGACACGGCCCAGACUCCUACGGGAGGCAGCAGUAAGGAAUUUUCGGCAAUGGGGGCAACCCUGACUGAGCAACGCCGCGUGAGUGAUGAAGGUCUUCGGAUCGUAAAGCUCUGUUGUAAAGGAAGAAUGUUAUAUUGAGGAAAUGCUAUAUAAGUGACGGUACUUUACUAGAAAGUCACGGCUUACUACGUGCCAGCAGCCGCGGUAAUACGUAGGUGGCAAGCGUUAUCCGGAUUUAUUGGGCGUAAAGGGUGCGCAGGCGGAUUGUUAAGUUUGAGGUGAAAGCGUUGGGCUCAACCCAAUACAGCCUCGAAUACUGGCAGUCUAGAGUGCAGAAGAGGGUAAUGGAACUCCAUGUGUAGCGGUAAAAUGCGUAGAUAUAUGGAAGAACACCAGCGGCGAAGGCGGUUACCUGGUCUGUAACUGACGCUCAGGCACGAAAGCGUGGGGAGCAAAUAGGAUUAGAUACCCUAGUAGUCCACGCCCUAA
rnacentral:rRNA from 1 species